GCAACACAACAUCACAUCCUAAAAACACUCAACUAAAUUUUAACUUCAAAGCAUGGGUAGGAACAUACUUGUUUUUCUUUUGGUUCUAAUUGUUCUCAUAAUGUCCCCCCAACCCCAAGUAGCUUUAGCCAGGAAGCUUGUGGAGACUACCAACACCAAAACCGAGGCAAAAAGGAAGACAUCAACCAUCACCUAUCCAGCAUCUCCAUAUUCCAAACCCCGCGAGUGUACCUACAUAAAACUUUGCAGGCGCAUCGGCGGAGGCAGGCCUCCUCCACCGAAGACCAAACCUUGACUACUCCAAGUCCAAACCACCAAAUGCUUCCAUCACAAUAUAAGUUAAAUAAUUCCAAAUAAAAUAUUGCAAACUGUACUACUGUGUGUAUGAAUUAUGAUUAUGUCAAUAUAUACAUGUCAGUUUAACCAAA